GACAGAGGUGCCGAGCGUUAGGCGGAAUCACUGGGCUUAAAGCGUGUGUAGGCGGGUCGUUAAGUGCCUUGUGAAAUCCCACGGCUCAACCGUGGAGCUGCUGGGCAUACUGCCGAUCUUGAGCCAGCUAGGGGCAACCGGAACAAACGGUGGAGCGGUGAAAUGCGUAGAUAUCGUUUGGAACGCCAAUGGUGAAAACAGGUUGCUGGGGCUGUGCUGACGCUGAGACACGAAAGCCAGGGGAGCGAACGGG
rnacentral:rRNA from 1 species